UGCAAGUGCAAGUACGAGUCGCUGGCCUUCGUUGGCCCGACGACACUGCGAAAGGCUCAUUAAAUCAGUCGUGGUUUACGUGGUCGUGCGGCGACCUCGUCGUCGGAAAUGGAUAACCGUGGAAAAUCUAGAGCUAAUACAUGCGAGAAGGCGCCGACUUCGGGAGGCGUGCAUUUAUCUGACCGCUCGUCGGCCCGAGACGCGCUCUUCGCGGAACUCGCCUCGGUCGAACGUGGUGACUCUGGAUAACUUCGAAGAUCGCUUCGAUCGUCGAAGCGACGUGCCAUUCGAGCGUCUGACCUAUCAACUAUUGUCGGUAAGGUCUCGGCCUACCGAGGUGCUCACGGGUGACGGGGAAUCGGGGUUCGAUUCCGGAGAGGGAGCCCGAGAAACGGCUGCCACUUCCAAGGAAGGCAGCAGGCGCGCAAAUUACCCAUUUCAGACUCUGAGAGGUAGUGACGAGAAAUAACGAUGCCGGGCCCCGACGGGCGCCGACAAUCGAAAUGAGCGCAGCUCAAACGACUGAUGCGAGUAUCGAUCGGAGGGCAAGUCUGGUGCC
rnacentral:rRNA from 1 species